CCUAGGGGUGGCAGCAGUGAGGAAUAUUGGUCAAUGGGAGAGAGCCUGAACCAGCCAAGCCGCGUGAGGGAAGACGGCCCUAUGGGUUGUAAACCUCUUUUGUCGGAGAACAAAACCCGGGACGUGUCCCGGAAUGCGUGUAUCCGAAGAAAAAGCAUCGGCUAACUCCGUGCCAGCAGCCGCGGUAAUACGGAGGAUGCGAGCGUUAUCCGGAUUUAUUGGGUUUAAAGGGUGCGUAGGCGGUCCGUUAAGUCAGCGGUAAAAUUGCGGGGCUCAACCCCGUCGAGCCGUUGAAACUGGCAGACUUGAGUUGGCGAGAGGUACGCGGAAUGCGCGGUGUAGCGGUGAAAUGCAUAGAUAUCGCGCAGAACUCCGAUUGCGAAGGCAGCGUACCGGCGCCAGACUGACGCUGAGGCACGAAAGCGUGGGGAUCGAACAGGAUUAGAUACCCUUGUAGUC
rnacentral:rRNA from 1 species